rnacentral:tRNA from 1 species
UGGGCUGUAGCUCAGUGGUAGAGCACUUGCCCAGCAGCAUGAGGCCCUGAGUUCAAUCCCCAGCACUGUAA